ensembl:rRNA predicted gene, 23956
UGGUAUGGCCAUACCAUCCUGAAUGCACCUGAACUCAGCUAAGUCAGAAGUUAAGCAGACUCAAUCCUGGUUAGUAGACAGAUGGGAGAAGUCAGUAUUUUACUCUGGUGCAAUGGUAA